rnacentral:lncRNA from 1 species
AGGAACGAAACAAGCAGAGGUCCUCUCCUGAAAGAUUUAAGUAAUCAUUCAUUGAGAUGGGAGACUUUUCACAGAAGCUACUACAUUGAAACAGAAAGCCUUUUCUUCCUCUACCUCACUCAAAUCAAAAUUACGUACCACUUUAUCUGAUGACUGCAUUAGGAGCUUUGCUAAAAUACGAUCUGUUGAGUAUCUUGAUAUGCACAUCAUAGCUGCUGGGGAACAGGGACAAAUUGUGAUUAAUGUUUAGUGUGGUUUUUUUAUUGUUCUCUCCAAUAUUAUUCUUUUAGUGACGUUAGACAGAGGUGCUGCUCUGCACUGGUUCAUUUUGCUCCUCCACAAGCAGAAAUUAGACAGAUGGUGUCUCUGGUGAUCCUAUGGGGAAUUCCAUCACCCUAAGCAAGACUCAGAGAAGACUGCUGUAAAGGACAAAACCAGCAAUUCAGCAUUCGAGAAAGCAAUCUGCCUGCAGAGUCACCCACAUUUGAGGAGUGCAGCUCAGCCCAUGAGGAGCUGUCAGAGAAGGAGCGAAGGAGGAUGAAGGACUGCUUUGAGCGGUACCGCAGGAAGCGUGCCCUGCGCAGAGUGCCUGGCAGCUGCCCUGAGGCCGACUGGGAGCCCAGCACAGGCAGCGACAACACGGACACUGAGGGCAGCUAGGGGCCGGCCAGGGCUCCAGUUUGCAUCUGGACAGCGUUUCAGAUCCCUCAAUAAACAGCACAGUGUUUGGUUAUUAAUGGUUCUG